rnacentral:rRNA from 1 species
UACGUAGGGUGCAAGCGUUGUCCGGAAUUAUUGGGCGUAAAGAGCUCGUAGGCGGUCUGUCGCGUCGGCUGUGAAAACCUGGGGCUCAACUCCGGGCCUGCAGCCGAUACGGGCUGACUAGAAUUCGGUAGGGGAGACUGGAAUUCCUGGUGUAGCGGUGAAAUGCGUAGAUACUGGGAGGAACACCAGUGGCGAAGGCGGCUACCUGGACCGGUUCUGACGCUGAUGCGCGAAAGCGUGGGUAGCAAACAGG